rnacentral:tRNA from 1 species
GGCCAUGUAGCUUAAAGGUAGAGCAAUUGACUGUUAAUCAAUAGGUUGGGAUAUCGUAACUCCCCAUGGCCG